ACAGAGAGUUUUGGGGAGUCGGAAACGAACUUAUAAAUAUGAAAAUAUAAAUACACCCGACCCUCAUUCUGCAUCCAUUAAUUCUCAUCCAUGCGAAGUGUAGUGUCUUGGUCUGCGUCAGAGGCCGAAUUGAUUUGGCUUAUCUAGACUGGACAGCAAUGAGUGAAUUGGGAUCUUGAUAACACUUUGGCGCAGAUGAGUGAGACGACGACGGGUGGAUUUGGUGAGCCCAGCGUCGUACUCGACGGCCGAAAGCGAUAAAAGCUGGAACCAUGAUAAGAUUCCCCUAACUGUUGCUGCAUACGAAUAUUCCAUCUUUGAGCUAGUACUUGCUAGAUACUCGAAUCGUGGUCUUAUUUGCACUCUUUCUUUAUAUCUAUACUAUCACUGGAUCACUGGAAACCUGUGAAUGUGAAUCAGUUUAUUGUUUGCGCCAGCCGGGUGAGGACGUCUGCAGAGCAAGAUUUCUAUCCGACCAAGAUACAUAUGUAUGUAGAAAGAGAGCUCGGUGGUGGUAGUGAAGCGCUCGAGAUCAACAUUGCGAUCUCGUCUGAGAUUCAAACGCUGUGCUGUGCGAUUGAUCAGCGGGUCCAGCGGAUAAUGACGAAUACCUGGUAAAAGGGAAGUACAAAUUCGACGAUUAAUAUUACAUUUAAUAACUUCAUACUUUCAGACACCCCAGACGGGUGAUGCCCCGCCCUGAAAGUGAAUAUAGUGGAUUAGACCUAUUGGGGAUAUCACUUAAAAAAAAACGCACCAAAAACUCGACUUCUUGGGUGGUGUGGAAUGAGUUUAUUUCCAUAAAUAAAUAAAUCUUAAAUAUAAAAUAAAUAUAUCCUUAAA